AAGACCUUGCGCUUUUGGAGCGGCCGAUGCCUGAUUAGCUUGUUGGUAAGGUAAAAGCUUACCAAGGCUUCGAUCAGUAGCUGGUCUGAGAGGACGACCAGCCACACUGGGACUGAGACACGGCCCAGACUCCUACGGGAGGCAGCAGUGGGGAAUUUUGGACAAUGGGGGCAACCCUGAUCCAGCCAUGCCGCGUGAGUGAAGAAGGCCUUCGGGUUGUAAAGCUCUUUCAGCCGGAACGAAACGGUUACGGUUAACACCCGUGACUACUGACGGUACCGGAAGAAGAAGCACCGGCUAACUACGUGCCAGCAGCCGCGGUAAUACGUAGGGUGCGAGCGUUAAUCGGAAUUACUGGGCGUAAAGCGUGCGCAGGUGGUUUUGUAAGUCAGAUGCGAAAGCCCCGGGCUCAACCUGGGAACU
rnacentral:rRNA from 1 species